GGCGAGUGAAGCGGCAAAAGCUCAAAUUUGAAAUCUGCCUUACGGCCGAGUUGUAAUUUGUAGAUGGUAACUCUGUGGCAAGCCUUUGCUCAAGUUUUCUGGAAAGAAACAUCAUGGAGGGUGACAAUCCCGUGAGGCAUUGGUGCAGCUACGUGUAGAGUGCUAUCAAAGAGUCGAGUUGUUUGGGAAUGCAGCUCAAAGUGGGUGGUAGACACCAUCUAAAGCUAAAUAUUGGCGAGAGACCGAUAGCGAACAAGUACUGUGAAGGAAAGAUGAAAAGCACUUUGAAAAGAGAGUGAAAAAGUACGUGAAAUUAUUGAUACAGAAGGGUAUAAAAUUGGACUCAAGGUCUAGGUUCGGUAGCCUCUCGGGGUUGCUUUGUCCUAGGCCCUAAACCAGCAUCAGUUUUGGCAGGUGGAUAAACAACAUGGAAUGUAGCUGCUUGCAGUGUUAUAGACUUGUUGCAUACACCUUGCUGGGACUGAGGACCGCC
rnacentral:rRNA from 1 species